UACGGAGGGUGCAAGCGUUAUCCGGAUUCACUGGGUUUAAAGGGUGUGUAGGCGGGUAUUUAAGUCAGUGGUGAAAUCUCCAGGCUCAACCUGGAAACUGCCAUUGAUACUAUUUACCUUGAAUUCUGUUGAGGUGGGCGGAAUACAUCAUGUAGCGGUGAAAUGCUUAGAUAUGAUGUAGAACACCAAUUGCGAAGGCAGCUCACUAAACAGACAUUGACGCUGAGGCACGAAAGCGUGGGGAUCAAACAGGAAUUAGAAACCCGGGUAGGUCCAAGCACCGAAUGUACCGUC
rnacentral:rRNA from 1 species